UUACUACUCCCUCCGUCCGAAAAUACUUGUCAUUAAAAUGAAUAAAAGGAGAUGUAACUAGAUGUAUUUUAGUUCUAGAUACAUUCUUUUUGUUCAUUUUGAUGACAAGUAUUUUUAGACGGAAGGAGUACUAU
rnacentral:pre_miRNA from 1 species